AAGUUUGAGGUGAUUGUAUCACAAUCAGUUAAAACUUUCAACAAUGGAUCUCUUGGUUCCGGCAUCGAUGAAGAACGCAGCGAAAUGCGAUAACUAGUGUGAAUUGCAGAAUUCCGUGAAUCAUUGAGUCUUUGAACGCACAUUGCGCCCCCUGGUAUUCCGGGGGGCAUGCCUGUCCGAGCGUCAUUGCUGCCCAUCAAGCACGGCUUGUGUGUUGGGUAGUCGUCCCCUCUCCGGGGGGGACGGGCCCCAAAGGCAGCGGCGGCACCGCGUCCGAUCCUCGAGCGUAUGGGGCUUUGUCACCCGCUCUGUAGGCCCGGCCGGCAGCAGCCGAACG
rnacentral:rRNA from 1 species